rnacentral:rRNA from 1 species
GCGGCGAACGGGUGAGUAACACGUGAGUAAUCUGCCCUUGGCUUCGGGAUAGCCACCGGAAACGGUGAUUAAUACCGGAUACGACACAUCACUGCAUGGUGCGUGUGUGGAAAGUUUUUUCGGCCAGGGAUGUGCUCGCGGCCUAUCAGCUUGUUGGUUGGGGUAAUGGCCUACCAAGGCUUCGACGGGUAGCCGGCCUGAGAGGGUGACCGGCCACACUGGGACUGAGACACGGCCCAGACUCCUACGGGAGGCAGCAGUGGGGAAUAUUGGACAAUGGGCGGAAGCCUGAUCCAGCAACGCCGCGUGAGGGAUGACGGCCUUCGGGUUGUAAACCUCUUUCAGCACAGACGAAGCGCAAGUGACGGUAUGUGCAGAAGAAGGACCGGCCAACUACGUGCCAGCAGCCGCGGUAAUACGUAGGGUCCGAGCGUUGUCCGGAAUUAUUGGGCGUAAAGGGCUCGUAGGCGGUUUGUCGCGUCGGGAGUGAAAACACCGGGCUUAACUCGGUGCUUGCUUUCGAUACGGCAGAUAGAGGUAUUCAGGGGAGAACGGAUUCCUGGUGUAGCGGUGAAUGCGCAGCUAUCAGGAGGAACACCGGUGGCGAAGGCGUUCUCUGGGAAUAUCCUGACGCUGAG